GGUGUUUGUUCCUGCGGAGGAGCCGGCGCCAUGGCGGUUCUCUUGGAGACCACUCUGGGCGACGUGGUCAUCGACUUGUACACUGAAGAGCGUCCCCGGGCUUGCUUGAAUUUUUUGAAGCUGUGCAAAAUAAAAUAUUACAACUAUUGCCUCAUACACAAUGUACAGAGGGAUUUUAUCAUACAAACAGGAGAUCCCACGGGGACUGGCCGCGGAGGAGAGUCUAUAUUUGGGUAAGCUCCUAUGUGUGUAUUUUAGUUAGCGUUUCUAUGCUAUAAUGAAACACUAUGAUCAAAAGAAACCAGGAAAGGAGAGUGUAUUAGUCAGGGUUCUCUAGAGUCACAGAACUUAUGAAUAGUCUCUAGAUAGUAAAGGAAUUUAUUGAUGACUUACAGUCGGCAGCCCAAUUCCCAACAAUUUUUCAGUCGCAGCUGUGAAUGGAAGUCCAAGGAUCUAGCAGUUACUCAGUCUCACGCAGCAAGCAGGCGAAGGAGCAAGAGCUAGAGCUAGACUCCCUUCUUUCAAUGUCCUUAUAUUGUCUCCAGCAGAAGGUGUAGCCCAGAUUAAAGGUGUGUUCCUUAAACUCGGAGAUUCAAUCUUCUGGAAUCCAUAGCCACUAUGGCUCAAGAUCUUCAAACCAAGAUCCAGAUAAGGAUCUCCAAGCCUCCAGAUAAGGGUCACUGGUGAGCCUUCCAAUUCCGGAUUGUAGUUCAUUCCAAAUAUUGUCAAGUUGACAACCAGGAAUAGCCACUACAGAGAGGGUGUAUUCCUUUUGGGUAACACUAAAGAAGUCAGGACAUGAACUUAAGGCAGGAACCGAAGCAGAAGCCAUGAAGUAACACUUCUCCUUGACUUGCUCCUCAUAGCUUGCUCAGUGUACUUUCUUAUACAACAGGGAACUACUUGCCAGAGUGGCACUGACCCUGUGUGGGCUGAACCCUCUUCUAUCAAUAAGUAAUCAAGAAAAUGUUCUAUAUACUUGGUACAGGCAAUCUGAGGGAGCCGUUUUCUUAAUUGAGGAUCCUCUUCCUAGACAACUAACUCUAACUUCUGUCAAGUUGAUAAAAGAACAACCAGGCAGGACAGUGUGUUUGUGUAUUUGUACAUGUAUGUAUGUAUGUAUGUAUGUAUGUAUGUAUGUAUGUAGAGACAAGAUCUCAUAUAACCCAGCUUGAUCUUGAACUCAGUGCCUACCAAGCUGAGAAUGGGCUUAAACUGAUCCUCCAUUUUCCUCGUUUUGAGAAUAGAGGCAUGCCCCAUUACAGUGUAUACUAAACAUACAUUGUACCAAUUGAGCUAUAUAUCCCUAUCUUCUAUUUUUAUCUAUUUUAUUGAUGGCUUCUGAAAUGGAGUGUUAUUCUGUAGCCCAGAUUAAUCUGGGAUUCACCAUGUAGCUUAGGUUUGCCUCUGACUCAGAUUUUGUUCUGUUCUGUUUUGUUUUUUUGAGAGAGGAUGUCUCUAUUCCUGGCUGGCCUGGAAUUCAUUCUAUAGACCAGGCUGGUUUUGAACUCAGAGAUCUGCCUUCCUUUGCUUCUCAAGUGCUGGGAUUAAAGGCGUGCGCCACCACGCCCGGCUACAAUAGCACUUUUAUGUUAGGCUUCCAUACUCCUCAUAUUCCAGCCCAACCUUCUCAGAGUCCACUGCAGAGACUGGGAUUAUUGUUACGAUAGUUCUGUGCUUUUUCUUCGUUUAUUUUUUAAUACACGGUCUUAACUACGUGCCUGUCUUAGAACUCACUAUAUGGACCAGGCUGAUCUCAAGCUCGUUAGAGAUCUGCUGCCCCUGCCUCUCAAGUGCCGAGAUUAAAGGUGUGCACUGCCACCAUUAAUCUAAAAACUGACUGAUUCAAUCUGGCUUCUCUCUUUCAGCCUUUCCUGAAUUGCUCUGCUUGGCCUCAUACUAACUUGGGCAGUGUGUUCUAAUCUUACACACACAAAUGGUGCCUAGUUGCAGGAUAUUUGAUCACAUUGUGAACCCCAAGAUUGUGUUAUUUACUGAAAAAAAAAAUCUUUUUCUAAUUGUGGUGUGGCUCAGGGAAAGAGAGAGAAGCCAGAUUGAAUCAGUUUAGAGAGGAGUUUUGAGGCAGAAAAGCUGAGUUGAAUCAUCCAGUUUAUGCUUUAUUUUAUUCUAAGGCUUUAUAUUAGAGAAAUUACUUUAAUUCUGAUUCAUCACUUUGUCCUGCAGCUCAGUUAGACAGCUCUUUCAAACAGGAGUGCUUCCUUCUACAAACUAGCUUUGCCUUCAUUAUUUGGGACUACAGGGUGUACUAAGGGCAUGAGAAAAGCCAGAUUGUGUUAUUUAC
rnacentral:lncRNA from 1 species